GUGAGAAGCAAGGCUGCAAAGACAGCCUCUUUCCUUCGAAUGCAUGCUCCAAGGUUGAGACUUUUUCUCUACCUCCAGUCAUUUCCCAGUCUUCUCUAGCAGCAGCGCCCGGAGAAGGCAGCCUCACCGCUCCGGUUUCCCUGGGUGCUUGGAGAUGUCCCUGUCCCUCGGAAAAGGUAGUGACCAUGCUGAAUUCAGUGGAGAUGCUAACUUCACCUUGAGAGAAAACCUGCAUUUGAACUUGAGCCAAGCAGGGCAAGAAUCUUGGAUACAUAGUCACUUCUAGUUCAUCUGGUGGCUAUUCAGCAGACUGACACCAAGAUGGAGUGAGCUGUAGAUGAGGACAAAGAAACAGAAAUAGUCUUGCCUAUAAACUCCCAAAGGUAAGAAGCUAUCAUAAGGACUGUGAGUUACAGUACCCGUUAAAUGGCUCAAGAUAACUCUAAGUUUUGUAGCAGAGCUCAUGUACAUUGACCAGUCUGAAAAGCCUGAGUACCUUUAUUUUACAUAGAAUUAGUUCAUUCUCAAAUACAACAAAAAAACAGGGAGUAGGUUAGACAUAAGAAGCCAGUUCCUAUGCAGGACUUGACAUGUGCAAGUGUGUAAUACCCAAAAGCUUACUUGCUCCUUUUAACUGGGGUGGGACUGCAGUCAGUACUAGUUUCCCACCUCAGAAGAAGCUAGAGGCACAUGCAACACGUGUGUACAGACUGCUACUAGAGAGAUUUAAGCUGUCAAUCUGCAAAGACUUCUGGUGAUGAAACAAAUUUGGGACGAGGGAACUGCUACCAAGUGACUGUGUGAGGAAGGCACCUGAUAUAAGUACAACCAUCUGUCCUCGGCCUGUAUAAAAAACAGAAACGUUUGUAUUUUGAGGGUUAACUGCUUUUUGUGUUCUCUGAAAAUGACAGGCCCACGACAAACGGCAGGCAGAAGGUUCAGAGCACUGUAGCCCCACUGCCCUCCUCAUUAGCCCAUCUUCCAUUCCCUUAAUGCAGCUCUUGGAUGCCGCACCGGCAUUGCCACGCGUCUCCAAAGCCCAGGUGAGUUGUGGUACUGUGCAUGGGUAGGCAAUGAGUGAUUUUUCCCUUGUGAAGUAUCACAGUAUUAUUAGGAUUGGAAGAGACCUCACAGAUCAUCAAGUCCAACCCUUUACCACAGAGCUCAAGGCUAGACCAUGGCACCAAGCACCACAUCCAAUCUUGCCUUGAACAGCCCCAGGGACAACAUUCCCUUAUGAAGUAAAUGAUGGCACUGGCCACCAAUCUGCAACUUCUUUAGAUUAAACCUAAAAAGACAUUAUCUUUAAGACAUGAACUUCUUUAGAUAAACAUAAAAGGCUUUAUCAUUUCUUUGUGAAACUGUGAGAAUGGAUGCUCCAAAUGUGUCCACUCUCAUCCAGAUACUUUCAGAAGGUGCUUGUUCUAACAAAGGUCUCUUGGAAUGGGAUUAAGUGAUUCCUUCUUGAGCAGAAUCUGUGUUAAGGACAGAUAUACACUCAGGUCACAAUAUA